GUCAGCUCGUGUCGUGAGAUGUUGGGUUAAGUCGCGCAACGAGCGCAACCCUUGUCUUUAGUUGCUACGCAAGAGCACUCUAAAGAGACUGCCGGUGACAAACCGGAGGAAGGUGGGGAUGACGUCAAGUCCUCAUGGCCCUUAUGGGUAGGGCUUCACACGUCAUACAAUGGUGCAUACAGAGGGUUGCCAACCCGCGAGGGGGAGCUAAUUUCAGAAAAUGCAUCGUAGUCCGGAUCGUAGUCUGCAACUCGACUACGUGAAGCUGGAAUCGCUAGUAAUCGCGGAUCAGAAUGUCGCGGUGAAUACGUUCCCGGGUCUUGUACACACCGCCCGUCAUGCCAUGGGAGUGGGUUUUGCCAGAAGCCGUUAGCCUAACCGCAAGGAGGGCGACUGCCACGGCAGGGUUCAUGACUGGGGUAAAGUCGUAACAAGGUAACC
rnacentral:rRNA from 1 species